GUAAUUCGCACAGGAAAUACCAACAUUAAAGUUGUUUGGCUCAUUUCACAUGUGGUUCAUUGAUUACAUGCAUAAAGUUAGGUUACACAUUGCGAGGAAUUUGCUGGUGUUUUGUUCCGGAAGCUUCUGUGUACGAACCGAAUAUCAUAAAUCCGUUACACUACACUACAAGUUGUUACGUGUGAAGAAGAGGUUGAUCUGAAUUAAGAAGUUAUAUCUGUGUAUGCAUUGACAAAACACGUUACAUCAUGAUACUGGCUCAUCAAGAAAUCAAAGUCCAUUGGGAACAAAUAUCUUGAUUCAUUAUUUAUGAUGCAUGAAGAAUUUGAAGCUUGCAUCCUAUGUUAGGGAACCACAGCUGUUUUCUGAGAAAUCAGUUUGUUUCUGGGCAUGCUCAGAUAGCUUCAUCAUUACGAUAUGUGUGGAAUGAAGGAGGUUCACCGAAAGUUAGCGGUGGGCAGACAGAAGAGAAAGUUAGAAGUCUGUCAGAUGCAUAUCCAAUAACAAAUCAAAAUAUAAUCUCACUACAGGAUGUAGCUACUCAUUCUACAUCAGAUGUUAAAAUUAUUAGCAAACCUGCUGCAGCAAGAAGCCAUGAGUUGUCUAAAUGCACACCACAUUGCAGCAGUACCUCCUCUGGUACUUUGACGAGAGUUGAAUCAGAAAAGGUUGCCAGGCAUGGGGUUGGUGUACAGAAAUUAAGUGCUCCUGUUAAGAAGGAAAAUAAACUGAAACAUGGUAAAACAAAGGUUAUUGUAGAUAAUGAAGAACUUACAGAAGAUAUGAAACAAGGAAUGGAGGAAGAUAAGGCACCAAGGAUAAAUGAAAUGAAAAUACAGAUGCUGUCUAAAGGCUUAUUCCAGCAAUUAUUUGGAAAAGAGAACUAUAAAAGGCCAACUCAAGAACAGAUUGUAAGGGCUCAAGAAGAAUUGAAAAAGCAUAAACUUCUUUCAUCUGAGAAGGCUUUUGUUGAAGAUGUUAACUUCAAACUUCCUCCCUUAGAGGGUGAUAAUUUACAUAACCAUUUCCAUAUAAUAGGUGAGCAACAGAGUCGUCCAUAUAGAAUUCUUCUUGAAGACCUAGUUGCUUACUUGCCAGAAGCACCAAAAGAAUGGCUUCUUCAGCCAGGUUGGACCAAGUACAGUAGAGAUACAGCUCCUCAGUCAGUCACGUUUCCAGACGAAGAUGCACUUGUGUUUGAUGUGGAAGUUUGUCGUAGUGUGGGAGAGGCACCAACUAUAGCCACAGCUGUCAGUCCUCAUGCAUGGUAUGCUUGGGUGAGUGAUGCAGUCAUUAGUGGCAACAGUGGGACGGGUGGGCGACAUUAUUCAACCAAAGACUUGAUCCCAUUAGAGAGUGGCCCUUUGCAACGUGGUGUAGGUCAUGGGAUCUGUAAACCAAGAGUGCUAGUUGGCCACAAUGUUUCAUAUGAUCGAGCUCGAAUAAAAGAACAGUAUUGGCUUGAAGGUACUGGGAUGCGAUUUGUUGAUACUAUGUCACUUCAUGUAUGCGUAAGUGGGAUUACAAGUUACCAAAGAGCCCUUCUGAAAUCAUCUGCAACAAAUACUGCUGAUGAGUCUGAGGUGGAUGUUAACAAGAAAGAUGAUGAAUGGCGAAAUUAUAGUUCUCUUAAUAGUUUGAGUGAAGUUCACAAACUGUACUGUGGAACACCUCUGAACAAGAUGACACGAGAUAUAUUUGUUAAUGGCACACUAGAAGAUGUUAGCACGCAGUUUCAAACUGUCAUGCAUUACUGUGCUGGAGAUGUUAUUGCCACACAUAAUGUUAUACGCAAACUGUUGCCACUGUUCCUGUUCCGUUUUCCUCAUCCUGUUACGUUAGCUGGAAUGUUAGAGCUUAGUACUGCAUACCUUCCAGUUAAUUCUAACUGGAAUCGUUACUUGACAGAUGCCCAACAGACCUUUGAUGAUUUUGACAGUGAAGCAAGAUUUUUAUUGGCUCGACGGGCAGAUGAGGUUUGCCAAAUGCUUCAUGAAAAUAAGUAUCGUGAAGAUCUCUGGAUGUGGGAUCAAGACUGGAGUAUUCAAGAGUUAAAGCUUAAGAAGACUGUUUCUAAGAAAAGUAAGAAAAUUGACUGUAAUAAGCAGAAAUCUCAGUAUUCGGAUGAUGAAAGAGUUCAGGAUGUGGCAAGUGAUAGUGAAUUUUCAAAGAGAAGUAUAAACAGAACAGAUCUUAAAGGACAAGACAUGCACAUGUGUAAUGAAACUGGGGAAAAUAUUUCAAGCACUUGUGAUGAAGAUGAGAGUUAUGAUGAAAACGAUGAAUUAAGUGACAAGUUUCAGUACCUUACAGAGACCAGGAAACUUCUUCCUGCUAAAAUGCCACAUCUUCCUGGGUACCCAGCAUGGUAUCGAAAACUUUGUCAUAGGCCAAGUGAACCUGACUGGAUUCCUGGACCUCAGCUUAUUAGUACAUCUAUGCAGAUCACACCAAAGCUGCUGUGCCUCACGUGGGAAUCUUAUCCAUUGCAUUAUGUACGAGGGAAUGGCUGGGGAUUCCUUGUUCCAUACUGUAUUAGCAUUGCAAAUGUGAGUGACACAUCCCCACAGGUUCCACUAAAAGAGCUCCUAGAACAUUGCAGCAUUGCAGAUGAAAGCUCUUUAAUUGCAGGAGCUAAUGAAAGUGAGGCUGCUUUUUCAGUCCUCCAUCAGGCUGUUGAGCAUAAUGUCUCAGUGAGAGCUUUCCACAAGACCAGAAAGACAGAUGAGAAACCAAACUGGUACAAAGGUACUGGUGUUUGGUGCGGUGUAGCUGUGGGUGGCUGUUGUUGGUUUUUGAAACUGCCACAUAAAGAUGGGAGUAAUCAUAGAGUUGGUAAUCCUUUGGCCAAGGAUUUUCUGAACAAGUUUUCAGAGAAUGUGUUGGCUGGCACUGAUGCGGGAGCAGAGAAAGUGCUGGCCAUUGGGCGAAUGUUGUCAUAUUGGAGAAACAAUCGAGACCGUAUUGAACAGCAGCUUGUAGUAUGGAUGGGUAUGCGAGAUUUACCACGAUCACUACGUGGAUUGGAUACUGAAUUUGGUGCUAUAAUACCACAAGUCAUAGUCUGUGGAACACUAACACGUCGGGCUGUGGAACCGACGUGGAUGACAGCAUCUAAUGCUCACAAGGAGAGAAUUGGUUCAGAGGUUCGUGCCAUGGUGCAGGCUCCUCCAGGAUACAGUAUUGUUGGUGCUGAUGUGGAUUCACAAGAAUUAUGGAUAGCAUCUAUAAUUGGAGAUGCCCAUUUUUCAAAAAUACAUGGUGCUACACCAUUUGGUUGGAUGACCCUCAGUGGCAGGAAGACAGAUGGAACUGACAUGCAUAGUGUUACAGCUAAAGCUGUAGGCAUUUCAAGAGACCAUGCAAAGGUGAUCAAUUAUGCACGAAUUUAUGGUGCAGGUCAGCAGUUUGCUGAGAGACUCUUAAAGCAAUUCAACCCUACAAUGUCAGAAAAUGAAGCAAAGGGAAAGGCUAGAAAAAUGUUCACACUAACCAAAGGAAAGAGAAUGUACCGACUUAAGGAAUCAUAUCGUGAUUUUCUGGAAGAUCGUUUGUAUACAAUGACAGAAGCAUUGAAACUUAGGGCAAAACAUGGCAUAACCUUAGAAGAAAUGUUUGAGCACCCACAGUGGGUUGGUGGCACAGAAUCAGCUAUGUUCAAUUGCCUGGAAGAGAUUGCAAACAACAAGGCACCAGUAACACCAUUUCUUAGUGGACGUUUAAGCCGUGCACUGGAGCCCAAGAAUGGUAUGGAUGAUCGCUACUUGCCAACACGUGUAAAUUGGGUUGUUCAGAGUGGUGCUGUAGACUUCUUACACCUCAUGUUGGUUAGCAUGCGUUGGUUGCUGGAUGCCAAAGCUCGAUUUUGCAUCAGUUUCCACGAUGAAGUUCGGUACCUUGUGCCAGAUGAACAGAAAUAUCAAGCUGCUCUUGCCUUACAUGUCACCAACUUACUAGCUCGUGCAUUCUGUGCACAGCAGUUGGGUCUGUAUGAUCUGCCACAAUCUGUAGCAUUCUUUACAUCAGUGGAGGUGGACACUGUUCUUAGGAAAGAAGCACAUCAGGACUGUUGUACACCAUCAAACCCACAUGGUCUUAGCAGGGGCUAUGGUAUACCUCAAGGAGAAUCUAUGGAUAUCUACCAAGCACUGAAAAAAGCUGGUGGAGCCCUUAGAGGUGCUAAUCAGAGGAUGAAGAGGAGACCUGCUGGUGUCGCUGAAGUUACAAUUGGACAACUGGUUGAUACCAAAACACAUAACUCAACAGUUCAGCAAUAAAAGGCAAGAAAGAGUAUGUCUACACUUACAAAAGGAUUACCUUAUCAUAGGAUGGUGGUGCACACUUUGUUGAAAAGAUAUGUCACGAGCAACAAAAAGGAAGCAUGUAAUCAAGGAGGUGCUUCUGGAUAACUUGGAAUUACCAACAGAGAAUCAAGAGGUAGUUCGUGUGCUUGCCAGCAGGGGAAAUAAUCUC